UACGUAGGGUGCGAGCGUUGUCCGGAAUUAUGGGGCGUAAAGAGCUCGUAGGCGGUUUGUCGCGUCGACUGUGAAAACCUACAGCUUAACUGUGGGCUUGCAGUCGAUACGGGCAGACUUGAGUUCGGUAGGGGAGACUGGAAUUCCUGGUGUAGCGGUGAAAUGCGCAGAUAUCAGGAGGAACACCGGUGGCGAAGGCGGGUCUCUGGGCCGAUACUGACGCUGAGGAGCGAAAGCGUGGGGAGCGAACAGG
rnacentral:rRNA from 1 species